UCAUGCCCCUUAUGACCUGGGCUACACACGUGCUACAAUGGUUGGUACAACGAGUUGCGAGUCGGUGACGGCGAGCUAAUCUCUUAAAGCCAAUCUCAGUUCGGAUUGUAGGCUGCAACUCGCCUACAUGAAGUCGGAAUCGCUAGUAAUCGCGGAUCAGCACGCCGCGGUGAAUACGUUCCCGGGCCUU
rnacentral:rRNA from 1 species